rnacentral:tRNA from 1 species
GCGGGUGUGGCGAAAUUGGCAGACGCGCUAGACUUAGGAUCUAGUUCUUAUGAGUGCAGGUUCAAGUCCUGUCACCCGCACCA